rnacentral:snoRNA from 1 species
AGGGCUAACACUGUGGUAGAUGAUCAAAAGUGUCUGUCACAAUUUGAGCUUACUAUAGCAAGAAAGUCUAACCUAUUCUGGUGUACUAUCCUCUAUGAGACAAGCUGUUAUAUAGGUUUAAACAGU